GACGAACGCUGGCGGCGUGCUUAACACAUGCAAGUCGAACGGAAAGGCCCCUUUGGGGGUACUCGAGUGGCGAACGGGUGAGUAACACGUGAGUAACCUGCCCUUGACUUCGGGAUAACUUCAGGCAACUGGGGCUAAUACCGGAUAGGAAUCCUUGCUGCAUGGUGGGGGUUGGAAAGCUUCGGCGGUUUUGGAUGGACUCGCGGCUUAUCAGCUUGUUGGUGGGGUAGUGGCUUACCAAGGCUUUGACGGGUAGCCGGCCUGAGAGGGCGACCGGCCACAUUGGGACUGAGAUACGGCCCAGACUCCUACGGGAGGCAGCAGUGGGGAAUAUUGCACAAUGGGCGGAAGCCUGAUGCAGCAACGCCGCGGGCGGGAUGACGGCCUUCGGGUUGUAAACCGCUUUCAGCAGGGGCGAAGCUUGUGGUGACGGUACCUGCAGAAGAAGCACCGGCUAACUACGUG
rnacentral:rRNA from 1 species